rnacentral:rRNA from 1 species
GACAGAGGUGCCGAGCGUUAGGCGGAAUCACUGGGCUUAAAGCGUGUGUAGGCGGACAAUUAAGUACCUUGUGAAAUCCCACGGCUUAACCGUGGAACUGCUUGGUAUACUGGUUGUCUUGAGCCACUUAGGGGCGAGCGGAACAAAUGGUGGAGCGGUGAAAUGCGUAGAUAUCAUUUGGAACGCCAAUGGUGAAAACAGCUCGCUGGGAGUGUGCUGACGCUGAGACACGAAAGCCAGGGGAGCAAACGGG